rnacentral:rRNA from 1 species
UGGCGGCGUGCUUAACACAUGCAAGUCGAACGGGAUCCCUGGCAGCUUGCUGCCGGGGUGAGAGUGGCGAACGGGUGAGUAAUGCGUGACCGACCUGCCCCAUGCACCGGAAUAGCUCCUGGAAACGGGUGGUAAUGCCGGAUGUUCCACAUGAGCGCAUGCGAGUGUGGGAAAGGCUUUUUGCGGCAUGGGAUGGGGUCGCGUCCUAUCAGCUUGUUGGUGGGGUAACGGCCUACCAAGGCGUUGACGGGUAGCCGGCCUGAGAGGGCGACCGGCCACAUUGGGACUGAGAUACGGCCCAGACUCCUACGGGAGGCAGCAGUGGGGAAUAUUGCACAAUGGGCGCAAGCCGAUGCAGCGACGCCGCGUGCGGGAUGGAGGCCUUCGGGUUGUAAACCG